UCCAAUGAAUCUGCUGAACAAUAAUAUAUCUUAUACCUUUGCCUGCAGCCGGCUCACUAUUGAAUUUUGGUCCUGGUUUGCACUUCGUAGGGGUUUUGACUUUUGAGAGGCAGCUGUUAUUGUUUAGUUGACAUGUUCUAAUUUUUCUGAGGUUGCCAAUGCUUCAUUAUCUCUUCCUGCUGAUUGCAGAAGACUGGUCGUGUUCAAUUGCCGUUAUUAGCUAGUAAGUAUAAUUUAGAUGCAGUUUAUAAGCUCCUUCGUUUGCUUACUAGAGUCUGCUGUGUGGGAAAUGAAACCUUAAUAGAGCUUAUUCAGAGACAGUAAUGCGGGUAGGGUAAAGGUCUGCCAACAGAACAGACUGCUAGCAAGAUUGUUCAUCUUGUAAGGCAGCUUCAGACCACUUUGCCUCCUUAAGCACUUGCUUCUACAUGGUCUUCUCUUCAGCCAUAGCAACAUUUUGCGCUACAAUCAGAGGGCGGCACGCCACAAGCAGCGGCAGUCAGUAUCGAGGGGUGGGGCAAACUAGGUUUCCGCGGCGACCAGGUACACGCUUGUGACAUGCCUAUCUGCUUGAUAUGGGGCGUUCUUCUCCGUAGAUUGGGCGUAGGUUGGUUCUCAAUCCCGUUAACUCUGACUUGUUCAGGUGAUUUUGGUGUUCAAGCCAUGUUCAAAAUCGAGGGUUAAUCCUCUAUCUGGUUCCAAGUCAGCUUCCCAAAUAUUUACUCUGACUGCGCAAAUCGGUCUAGCUCUGAUCAUUCAGGCUGUGCUUGUAUAAUACUACUCACUUGUACAAAUAAGGGAAAAUCCGAACGUGAAACGAAAUGCUAUGGCAAAAGAGAAGGGUACAGUCUGCAAGUUUCACUAACUUGAACUAACAAAUGGAAAAGCCAUAUGUAAGAUAUUACACCAUCGUUCUUUUUGACAUGAAUUUCUGUCACUAGCUACCAUCCUACAGAUCCUUUGCUUCAUCUGACAUCAAUGUGUGAGGCCAGAUGCUUGAUUCUAAGGAUUUCGGCAGAAACUUGUCCCAUGUCCGGCCGUUCUUUGGGCGAUGUCAUGGAGCAGGAGAGGCCUAUUUUAACCAUUGGAAUGACACAGUUCUUCAUCACUUCCGUUGCGUUGCUGUCAUCUUGUAGCAUUGUUGGAUCAACAACCUCACAGAUAUUAUCUGGAAAUGCUCUACGAACAAAUUCAUGAAGGCUUGCACCAUCGCUGAAUUUUCCGUCAGUUGGACUUCGCCCUGUUAUCAUUUGUAACAGAAGCACUCCAAAACUGUAGACAUCACCCUUGCUUGAUAUCUCUUCACUCAUGCCAUACUCUGCAUUUACAUUUACAAAUACAAUUAGGGAAUCUACAGUAAUUGUGUAACUCUGUAAAGAACAAACUGAACCAACAAUCUAACAUACUAAGGAUAUGCUUAAUCUCACCUGGUGGGAUGUAUCCGAUGGAUCCUUUUAGGCAGGCCAGACUUGUUGAACUAUCUUUGUAUGCAUUUGAUGCGGUGAACACAAACCUUGACAGGCCAAAGUCGGUGACAUACGCAACCAUGUCAAGAUCCAAAAGAAUAUUGCUUGGCUUUAGGUCACAAUGUAUCAAUGGAGAUGCACAUUGGUUAUGAAGAUAAUCCAAAGCAAAUGCUACAUCCAAGCCAAUAUUUAUCCUUUGUCUUAAAGUCAGGAUAUGUCUCUUACCAUGUUCAAGGUCUUCAGGAUGUAGCCACAUUUCUAGGUUCCCAUUCGGCAUAUAUUGGAACACUAGGGCCUUGAAAUCUGCCCCACUAGAAUCCACAGAAGAACAUGAUGUGAUGAUCUUUACAAGAUUUCGGUGACGGACAUUUCGCAGGGCUUCACACUCUGCAAUAAAGCUCCUAUUUGCUCCAUAAUUAUUAAGGUUGAAAAUCUUGAUGGCAACUUGAUCUUUCUGAAGCUUCAAACUGCCCUUGUAAACCACUCCAAAUGAUCCUGAUCCAAUUAGGUUAGCUGGAGAAAACCUAUUUGUUGACCUUACAAUGUCUUCAUAUGAUAUCUUCUUCAUAUGGUCAUCAAAUUCCUGCAAAUGUGGAUUUUCUUGCAUCCUCUUCCUCCAGUAUAUUGUUGCAAGACAUGACAAAAUUAAUAUAACAACAGCAAUGGUUGGAAUUGCUAUCUGUAGGACUAGAGCUGAUGAAUUUUGUUUUCCUUUUCUUUCAACUAGUGUGGAACAAAGAGGUAUACCUCCUGUUGGAAUGCUGGUACACAAAUCAUCAUUUCCUUCAAUUGACACUGCACUAGCAUUGUAAAAAAUACCACCUCUUGGAAUUGCCCCAUCAAAAUUGUUGAAGGAUAAGUUGAGAUUUUGCAGGGAACUUAAGGAUGUGAGGAACUGCGGAAUCUUUCCGGACAAAUUGUUAUGAGAAAUAUCCAAGUACUCAAGAACCACACACUGGCCAAGAGUGGAUGGGAUGUUGCCAGACAGCCUGUUAUCUGAUAUGCUAAUUUUAUUCACAUUAAUGAGAUUGCCAACUUCCACUAAUACUCCCCCAGAUAGGUAUCCUUCCGCUAAUGUUGUUCCUAUCCAACUUUAGAGAUUUUAGCUGAACCAAAUUACCAAUAGUAUCCGGGAUUUGCCCUGAAAGUCUGUUUUGUGCAAAGGAUAGAUGGACCAAGCUGUGCAAAUUGCCAAUUGUUGGUGGUAUAUUUCCAGUGACAAGAUUGUAAUCCAUGUACAACCUGCUGAGGCUCUUAAGAUUUCCAAUCUCCGGUGGUAUAGGCCCAGAAAUUUGGUUUUCCCUUAGCCACAGCCACUCGAGACUAUUAGAAAGAUUGCCUAUCGAACUUGGCAUUUUGCCUUGAAGAUUGUUCCCAACCAACAUCAACAUAGUCAACCUGGUACAAUUUGCUAGUGAAGAGACGAAUUCCCAGUCUCCUGCUUCUAGCUUGUUGUAUGACAAAUCAAGUUCCUCCAAAUUUGGCAAUGACCCAAAGAAGGGUAUAAACCCAGUUAGGUUGUUACUAUACAGGUAAAGCUGACGAAGGUUGUAAGCUUUGGGAAGAGAAGCUGGGAUUGGGCCAUCAAACUUGUUUGUUGAGAGAACCAAUGCCUGAAUAUUUGGGAGUGUGUAGCCAAUAUUGGAGGGUAACCUUCCAACAAGUGAGUUGUUUCCUACGCCAAGAAAUGUCAGAGAUGACAUAUUGAAGAGAGAUGGUGGAACUGUCCCAGACAAGUUGUUGGCUGUCAAGGUCAGUAUCUCCAGUGUUAAGAUAUGACCUAAGCUGUCUGGUAUACGCCCUACUAAAUUAUUUUCCGUCAGACGAAGAUCGAUGAGGGAGGAAAGGUUCCCUAGCGAGGAAGGUAUUUCUCCUGAAAUAUGAUUAUACCUUAAAUCGAGGUAUUGAAUAGGCGGGGAGGUGGCAGUAACAACAGGUAUAGAACCAACAAGGUUGUUCUUUUGAAGGGAAAUGUCAAGAAGAGAUGAUGUGUUGAAGAGAGCCUUUGGUAGUUUUCCAAUAAGCCUAUUACUCAUGAGCCAAAGUACUUGGAGGGAUGAACUAUUUGCUAGGGACUCCGGGAUGACCCCUGUCAGAGCAUUCACCCCAAGAUCGACAUAUGUAAGAGAACGGCUGCUGCCCAGAGACGGUGGUAUGUUACCUUCCAAAGUGUUCAUGCUGAGGUUGAGGUCACGGAGCUGGCUCAGGAGGCCAAGCUCCGACGGUAUGCCACCAUUGAAGCUAUUGUUUGACAGCUGAAGCCUUGCAAGAGAGGUCAGGUUGGCAAGGCAAGGCGCUAUGGGGCCUGAGAUGCCUUCUGACUCAAGGUGCAGCUCAAUCACACGACGAGGAGGCACCGUGCUGCAGGUGAUCCCAUGCCACUCGCAAACUUCCAGGGACGUGUUGCUCCAUGAAGCUAAAACUCCUGCUGGACCCGAGAACCGGGACUUGAAGCAGAGGAGAGCUUGUCUAUCAUUUUCAGUUUCAUUGCAGAUGGCUAGUCGUAGGCUGCAAAUGAAGCUAAAGAGGCAUAGAAACGAAACAAAGGCUUGAAACAUGACACUGGAAGAUGGAAUUGUUGUUGUUCACAGGCUACAGCUAUGGAGUAUGGAGAUGAAAGCUUUCAUUUGCAAGAGGAUGUUUAAGUACUCAGCUGUGGAGUGCGACGGUAGCUAACCGCUUAAAAUAGCACACAUAUUCGCGGCUCAGCGAUCAAUAUGGUGGGAACGGGGCUGAUGCAUCACGGCAUCCUUUUGGAUCAGAUACGGUGUUCAUUCAAACUAUUUGCUGACUAAAUUAGCUUGUGCUUGGAAGUAGUUGUUCAAGUCCACACUUGUGGAAUAUUUAUAUUGUGAGCACGCAUUUGGACGCCAAGAGAUUUGACCUUUCACGUCUCAGACUGGGACAGGAUGAUGCCUCCAACCUCUGCUUACAUUGCAUUGACCCAGCCACCCUCCAACAACAUGUUGCCUGAGAGAGGCCCCGCCUGUGCAUUUCAUUAGUCUGAUCUGAUGAACCUCCGUUUGGCGGCAAGGUGGCUCACGCUUUCUUCAGCGCAAAAAAAAAGAUAGCGAGACGACUCUAUGGCUGGUUGUAUGCGCACUGCAUUGACCCAGCCAGCGGCCCAGCAACUUGUCUGAAGAACGGCGGCUCCGUACUCUAGACACGCUACCAUGACCUGACCGGCGGCCGAGCAACUCGCCUGCAGAAUGUCAAUGAUAUUUGGCGUUCAAGUCUCGGGACUGACCUGUCAACAUGUCAAGAUACCUCCAAACCUCUGAAUACAUUGCAUCUACCAGGCCAGUGGCAGAGUAGAGUGUUUGACUAGGCAACAUUAUCCACCACAUGGUAUGAACCCAUGCCUUCCACUUGAUGAACACAAAGUAUGCAUGGACUGCUAGGUGAAGGUCGAGGUCGUAGCCGGGCUGGGUGCGCGCGCGUACCUCCGUGAGAUACAUCAAAAGUCCUCUCUGAAACACAUACUGUACUAUAUAAACAUACAAAUCCCGGGGCCAGGAGGCACAUCCCUCAAUCCUCACCCAUCAAGCUCUGCCAAGCCAGCUAGCUAGAGAGGAUGGCGCUCGCUCCCAGGUCGUCCCUGCGCUCCCUGGUGUUGCUCAUGUCGCACGGGAGGCCACGGCUGAGCUCUUUCUUCUCCUUCACCACCGCCCCAGGAGCCGAUGCUCCUCCGGCCGUCCAGCCCCCAGGUCCUUCAUGCCACAAGCUCCCUGUCGAGGAAGAGUUUGUUCUUAACCCAACUCCUGGUUAUGGUUCAUGUAGCACACCUGACAAGCCUCCCUCCGGCGCCUCCGAGGAUGUGAAACAACGAGAUGUUGAUCCACCACCUCCCGCGCGCGAAGGUGUUGGACACCGAGUUGUCGAUCCACCACGCGGGGGCAGGGGGCGUCGCGCGCCCGACGAGCCAGAGCAGUGCGCCCAGGAGCAUCCCAAGUACCCAGUUCCUGACAAUUCAAGUGACAAGGUCUGCUCCUCCGCUACUCCGCCGCCGGCUCCAGGACCUUGCACCACGGCUGCCCCCGACGUCCAGCCUCCAGUCACCCCAGCUCCGCCAAAUCGUUCAGGCCACAAGCUCCCUGAUCACGAAGAGUCUGUUUUCAACCCACUUCCUGAUCCACCAUCAGGUCACAGGCUUAGCCCUGUAAUCGAAGAGCCUGCCCGGUGCACCCUGGACAACCCCAAAUACCCAACUCCUGAUCGUGGUUCAUGUAGCCCAUCUGAAGGUGCAUCUGGGGACUUGUUGGAAGAUCCUCUGCAUCGGGUGCCUGAUCCACCACGUAAGCCGUAAUCGACGAGCCUGCACCCAGGAGCAUCGACCCUGCUAAUAUUGUAUCGCAUUCGCAUAGGAGAAAAAACUGGGCAGCUUUCGCUGGCUUCUGCCCGUGCUGGGCUGCAUAUACUGUACACUCAUAAUUUUGUUUCGAUGAACCUUGUGUUGUGCGCUCAGAAGAAAUAUCCCGGUGGUUAUUUGUAAUCUCAAUACAUGCUGUCAAGGAAAAGAAUCAUGGUUGAGCCCC
rnacentral:rRNA from 1 species